rnacentral:tmRNA from 1 species
GGGGUUGUUCAUGGAUUCGACAGGGUUGUUAGAGCUUUAUAAGCAUGUCUGGGUGGUGCCUGUAAAAACACCAGGUUAAAUAUAACCGGAAACCAAAAUUACGCAUUCGCAGCUUAAUAUAAUAGCGCGAUCUCCAUCUUUAUAGGUCUACAUAUUUAGAUGUCGAGAACAGUUUAGUAGAAUAUACUUAUGAUUGUGCCGUCUUAACAAUUAUAAAAGAAUCUAAUAAGACUCGUUAGUAACUUGGCCGUUCAUCACUUGGUUGCUAAUCAAAUUAAUUGAUGAACUAAGCAUGUAGAAAGUGAAGUUUCGGCUUCUUUGGACAGGGGUUCAAAUCCCCUCAACUCCACCA